GAUGAACGCUGGCGGCGUGCCUAAUACAUGCAAGUCGAGCGAACAGAUGAGGAGCUUGCUCCUCUCACGUUAGCGGCGGACGGGUGAGUAACACGUGGAUCACCUACCUAUAAGACUGGGAUAACUUCGGGAAACCGGAGCUAAUCCCGGAUAAUAUAUUGAACCGCAUGGUUCAAUAGUGAAAGACGGUUUUGCUGUCACUUCUCGAUGGAUCCGCGCCGCAUUAGCUAGUUGGUAAGGUCACGGCUUACCACGGCAACGAUGCGUAGCCGACGUGUGGGGGGGGUAGGCCACACGAGAAGUGGAACACGGACAAUGGUCCUGCGGGACGCAGCAGUAGGGAACGGGACGCAGUAGGCGGAAGCCUUACGGAGCGGGGCCGCGUGAGAGAUGGAAGUCUUCGGAGCGUAAAGCUCGGCUAUUAGGUGUAAACAAAUGUGUAAGGAACCAAGCACGUAGUGACGGUACCUAAUCAGAAAGCCACGGCUAACUACGUG
rnacentral:rRNA from 1 species